AUUGAACGCUGGCGGCAUGCCUUACACAUGCAAGUCGAACGGCAGCGGGGGAGAAGCUUGCUUUUCCUGCCGGCGAGUGGCGAACGGGUGAGUAAUACAUCGGAACGUGCCCUGUAGUGGGGGAUAACUAGUCGAAAGAUUAGCUAAUACCGCAUACGACCUGAGGGUGAAAGUGGGGGACCGCAAGGCCUCAUGCUAUAGGAGCGGCCGAUGUCUGAUUAGCUAGUGGGUGGGGUAAAGGCCUACCAAGGCGACGAUCAGUAGUUGGCCUGAGAGGACGAUCAGCCACACUGGGACUGAGACACGGCCCAGACUCCUACGGGAGGCAGCAGUGGGGAAUUUUGGACAAUGGGCGAAAGCCUGAUCCAGCAAUGCCGCGUGUGUGAAGAAGGCCUUCGGGUUGUAAAGCACUUUUGUCCGGAAAGAAAUGGCUCUGGUUAAUACCUGGGGUCGAUGACGGUACCGGAAGAAUAAGGACCGGCUAACUACGUGCCAGCCGCCGCCGUAA
rnacentral:rRNA from 1 species